rnacentral:rRNA from 1 species
AGCGAACGCUGGCGGCAGGCCUAACACAUGCAAGUCGAACGAACCUUUCGGGGUUAGUGGCGGACGGGUGAGUAACACGUGGGAACGUGCCUUUAGGUUCGGAAUAACUCAGGGAAACUUGUGCUAAUACCGAAUGUGCCCUUCGGGGGAAAGAUUUAUCGCCUUUAGAGCGGCCCGCGUCUGAUUAGCUAGUUGGUUGAGGUAAUGGCUCACCAAGGCGACGAUCAGUAGCUGGUCUGAGAGGAAGAUCAGCCACAUUGGGACUGAGACACGGCCCAAACUCCUACGGGAGGCAGCAGUGGGGAAUCUUGCGCAAUGGGCGAAAGCCUGACGCAGCCAUGCCGCGUGAAUGAUGAAGGUCUUAGGAUUGUAAAAUUCUUUCACCGGGGACGAUAAUGACGGUACCCGGAGAAGAAGCCCCGGCUAACUUCGUG